GCCUAGAAUCAUAAUCCUCAUCACAAGAGGAUUGUAAGGACAAGAUACCGGGACGUCGAGCGGACAAGCCGGUGGUGAUUCUCGUUUGAAGGGCGUGCGCCAAGGUAAUUAGGUGGUCACAUGGAUGGCGAUCAAGCGACUUGAUGAUGAACCGAACACUCCACUUCGAAGCUUCCGCUAUGUUUUGAACUU